GAUGAACGCUGGCGGCGUGCCUAAUACAUGCAAGUCGAGCGAACGGACGAGAAGCUUGCUUCUCUGAUGUUAGCGGCGGACGGGUGAGUAACACGUGGAUAACCUACCUAUAAGACUGGGAUAACUUCGGGAAACCGGAGCUAAUACCGGAUAAUAUUUUGAACCGCAUGGUUCAAAAGUGAAAGACGGUCUUGCUGUCACUUAUAGAUGGAUCCGCGCUGCAUUAGCUAGUUGGUAAGGUAACGGCUUACCAAGGCAACGAUGCAUAGCCGACCUGAGAGGGUGAUCGGCCAGACUGGAAGUGAGACACGGUCCAGACUCCUACGGGAGGCAGCAGUAGAGAAUCUUCCGCAAGGGGCGAGAGCCUGACGGAGCAACGCGGCGUGAGGGAUGAAGGUCUUCGGAUCGUAAAACUCUGUUAUUAGGGGAGAACAUAUGUGUAAGUAACUGUGCACAUCUUGACGGUACCUAGUCAGAAAGCCACGGCUAACUACGUG
rnacentral:rRNA from 1 species